AGACUGGAUAGGAAACACAAAGGCAUCUUUUUGUUUUUAAAAGACCUUCUUACGAAGGUAUGCUUAAAGAGGGGCUUGCGCCACAUUAGUUAGUUGGUAGAGUAAAAGCCUACCAAGACGAUGAUGUGUAGCUGGACUGAGAGGUUGAACAGCCACAUUGGGACUGAGACACGGCCCAAACUCCUACGGGAGGCAGCAGUAGGGAAUUUUCGGCAAUGGAGGAAACUCUGACCGAGCAACGCCGCGUGAACGAUGAAGUAUUUCGGUAUGUAAAGUUCUUUUAUUGAAGAAGAAAAAGUAGUGGAAAAACUAUAUUGACGUUAUUCAAUGAAUAAGCCCCGGCUAACUAUGUGCCAGCAGCCGCGGUAAGACAUAGGGGGCGAGCGUUAUCCGGAAUUAUUGGGCGUAAAGGGUGCGUAGGCUGUUAGAUAAGUCUAUAAUUUAAUUUCAGUGCUUAACGCUGUCUUGUUAUAGAAACUGUCUUGACUAGAGUGAGAUAGAGGCAAGCGGAAUUCCAUGUGUAGCGGUAAAAUGUGUAAAUAUAUGGAGGAACACCAGAAGCGUAGGCGGCUUGCUGGGUCUUUACUGACGCUGAGGCACGAAAGCGUGGGUAGCAAACAGGAUUAGAUACCCUGGUAGUCCACGCCGUAAACGAUGAGUACUAAGUGUCGGGGUAAAACUCGGUACUGAAGUUAACACAUUAAGUACUCCGCCUGAGUAGUACGUACGCAAGUAUGAAACUUAAAGGAAUUGACGGGACUCCGCACAAGCGGUGGAUCAUGUUGUUUAAUUCGAAGAUACACGAAAAAUCUUACCAGGUCUUGACAUACUCUGCAAAGCUAUAGAAAUAUAGUGGAGGUUAUCAGGGAUACAGGUGGUGCAUGGUUGUCGUCAGUUCGUGUCGUGAGAUGUUAGGUUAAGUCCUAAAACGAACGCAACCCUUGUCGUUAAUUGCCAGCACAUAAUGGUGGGGACUUUAACGAGACUGCCAAUUAAACAUUGGAGGAAGGUGAGGAUUACGUCAAAUCAUCAUGCCCCUUAUGAUCUGGGCUACAAACGUGAUACAAUGGCUGUGACAAAGAGUAGCUGAAACGCGAGUUUUUAGCCAAUCUCAAAAAAGCAGUCUCAGUUCGGAUUGAAGUCUGUAACUCGACUUCAUGAAGUUGGAAUCGCUAGUAAUCGCGAAUCAGCAUGUCGCGGUGAAUACGUUCUCGGGGUUUGUACACACCGCCCGUCAAACCACGAAAGUUAGCAAUGCCCGAAAGCAGUAGCUUAACUUCGCAAGAAGAGGGAACUGUCUAAGGUAGGGUUGAUGAUUGGGGUAAGUCGUAACAAGACUUCACCAC
rnacentral:rRNA from 1 species